GACGAACGCUGGCGGCGUGCCUAAUACAUGCAAGUCGAACGCUUCUUUCCUCCCGAGUGCUUGCACUCAAUUGGAAAGAGGAGUGGCGGACGGGUGAGUAACACGUGGGUAACCUACCCAUCAGAGGGGGAUAACACUUGGAAACAGGUGCUAAUACCGCAUAACAGUUUAUGCCGCAUGGCAUAAGAGUGAAAGGCGCUUUCGGGUGUCGCUGAUGGAUUGACCCGCGGUGCAUUAGCUAGUUGGUGAGGUAACGGCUCACCAAGGCCACGAUGCAUAGCCGACCUGAGAGGGUGAUCGGCCACACUGGGACUGAGACACGGCCCAGACUCCUACGGGAGGCAGCAGUAGGGAAUCUUCGGCAAUGGACGAAAGUCUGACCGAGCAACGCCGCGUGAGUGAAGAAGGUGUUCGGAUCGUAAAACUCUGUUGUUAGAGAAGAACAAGGACGUUAGUAAAUGAACGUCCCCUGACGGUAACUAACCAGAAAGCAACGGCUAACUACGUG
rnacentral:rRNA from 1 species